GGAGAUCUCUGAAAAAAAGGAAUCACCCAAGAUCAAUGAAAAAGAACUGGUGAAGAUUUCUGAAAAACUAAUGAAGAUGUCCGAUGUCUGUGAAAAAGAAUUACCAAAGAUCUCUGAACAUCUAGAGAAA